CACGUAGGAGGCAAACGUUAUCCGGAUUCACUGGGCGUAAAGCGCGUGCAGGUGGUUCCGUAAGUAGGGCGUGAAAGCUCCCGGCUCAACUGGGAGAGGCCGUACUAAACUGCGGAGCUAGAGGAUGGUAGAGGGAGGUGGAAUUCCAGGUGUAGUGGUGAAAUGCGCAGAUAUCUGGAGGAACACCAGUGGCGAAGGCGGCCUCCUGGACCAUUCCUGACACUCAGACGCGAAAGCUAGGGUAGCAAACGGA
rnacentral:rRNA from 1 species